GUGCUCACUUUGGCAGCACAUAUAGUAAAAUUGGAAUGAUACAGAGAUUAGCAUGGCCCCUGUGCAAGGAUAACAUGCAAAUUUGUGAAGCGGUCCAUAUUAAA